UACGUAGGGGGGCUAGCGUUGUCCGGAAUCAUUGGGCGUAAAGAGCGUGUAGGCGGCCCGGUAAGUCCGCUGUGAAAGUCGGGGGCUCAACCCUCGAAUGCCGGUGGAUACUGUCGGGCUUGAGUACGGAAGAGGCGAGUGGAAUUCCUGGUGUAGCGGUGAAAUGCGCAGAUAUCAGGAGGAACACCAAUUGCGAAGGCAGCUCGCUGGGACGUUACUGACGCUGAGACGCGAAAGCGUGGGGAGCAAACAGG
rnacentral:rRNA from 1 species